rnacentral:rRNA from 1 species
CCUACGGGAGGCUGCAGUGGGGGAUAUUGCACAAUGGGGGGAACCCUGAUGCAGCGACGCCGCGUGGGUGAAGAAGCGCCUCGGCGCGUAAAGCCCUGUCAGCAGGGAAGAAAAUGACGGUACCUGAAGAAGAAGCCCCGGCUAACUACGUGCCAGCAGCCGCGGUAAUACGUAGGGGGCAAGCGUUAUCCGGAUUUACUGGGUGGAAAGGGGGCGCAGACGGCGAUGCAAGCCAGGAGUGAAAGCCCGGGGCCCAACCCCGGGACUGCUCUUGGAACUGCGUGGCUGGAGUGCAGGAGGGGCAGGCGGAAUUCCUGGUGUAGCGGGGAAAUGCGUAGAGAUCAGGAGGAACACCGGUGGCGAAGGCGGCCUGCUGGACUGCAACUGACGUUGAGGCCCGAAAGCGUGGGGAGCAAACAGGAUUAGAUACCCCUGUAGUC